rnacentral:tRNA from 1 species
GCAAGUGUAGUUCAGUGGUAGAACAUUAGCCUUCCAAGCUAAGUAUGCGAGUUCGAUUCUCGUCACUUGCUCCA